GAUGAAUAACGCAGCGAAAUGCGAUACGUAAUGUGAAUUGCAGAAUUCAGUGAAUCAUCGAAUCUUUGAACGCAUAUUGCGCUCUCUGGUAUUCCGGAGAGCAUGCUUGUUUGAGUAUCAGUAAACACCUCAACUUCCAUAUCUUUUUUGAAAUGGGAGUUGGACUUGAGUGAUCCCAACGCUUUUCCUCACCGAAAAGUGGCGGGUUACUUGAAAUGCAGGUGCAGCUGGACUUUUCUCUGAGCUAUAAGCAUAUCUAUUUAGUCUGCCUAAAAAACAGAUUAUUACCUUUGCUGCAGCUAACAUAAAGGAGAUUAGUUCUUGUGCUGACUGAUGCAGGAUUCACAAAAACGGCUUCGGCCGACUUUGUAAACUCGAUCUCAAAUCAAGUAAGACUACCCGCUGAACUUAAGCAUAUCAAUAAGCGGAGGA
rnacentral:misc_RNA from 1 species